CAUCAAACUUUUCAUCACUAGGCUUAAACACCCGCAGUUCAAAAAUAAAGGAACCCAGACCAGUGGUGAUCUAGCAUAGCACAAUAGUCUAUGCUGUCUUUCUUGGAACUCCCAUUCUUCAGGUGUGCAUUGACUCACCAGCCUCUGGAGUGGUGAGAGCAGGGCUUUGAGUGCAUUGUCUUUCUUGGCCUUCAGCAUCAGCUUUAUUGUUACCUUGUGCAAUGAAUUCUUUGCCUUUCUGAUGUCCUGAACAAUGUAUUACUGUGAGUUUGCUAGGUUCUCACACUGCCUCUAGCAACUGUACAAUUUCCUGUUUAUUUUUAAUUUGCUUCCCUUCUGCUGGGAGAAGACCUCGCUCUUGAUAAAUCAUGCCAUGGAGGUGCAAUGUAGCAAAGGCAUAGUGGGAGUCUGUAUAUAUAUUUACCUUUUUACCCUUUGCCCAUCAGAGUGCCUGUAUGAGUGCCCAGAGCUCAGCAUGCUGUGCCAACCAGCCAACAGGGAGGGGAGCAGCUAGGAUCACCUCAUCCUUCAUGGUUACUGCAUAUCCAGCAUGACGAACCCCAUCUUCCACGAAGCUGCUCCCAUCCAUGAACAGAAUGAGGGCUUCAUAAAGAGGUUUAGAGAUCUCUGCAAAACCAGGAAUCCAGAUUCUACAAAAGCCUGCAACCCCAAGAAGCUCCCUCAGCUGUCUCUUUGUUUGUGGUUCAGGAAUGACACUAACAACCUGUUUUCUUUCAUUUCAUAUAUAACACAUGCCUUGCAUUGUUUGAAAUCCUAAAUAACAUGCUGUAGACAAAUCUGGGCUUUCUUCCCUGAUCCUUUUUAUCCAGUUCCCUGCAAGUGUAAUAACAAUCCUGCUGUGCCUUCCCAGCAUUCUUUUUGGGUCGGGCUGCAUAACAGUAAAUCAUAGUGUUGUGUUCCACUGUCUACUAUAAAGGACAUAUUUUGGCCCCCAAUCAUUAUAUUGACCAUGGGCUUGUAGGGGCCUAACUGCAUCGAGGCUGGUCUGUGUCAGUCUCUAUCUUCCAUCACAGGCAACAGUGCACCAAUAUCUUUUCUUUCCUUUAAUUCCUGAUUUUUCUUUUCUUUGAGCUUUGGGCACUUGUUCUUAUACUGUCGUUUCUCUCUGCAGUAUGCACACUGGUCACAACCUAAGUCUUCACAUUUAAAACCUUUCUUUUGCUUUUCUUCUGAUUUCAUUCCCUCUCUUUCUUUUUCUUUCUCUACCUUGGCUCCCAUAGCCACUGCUAUGUAUUUGGCCCACCUCUAAUUCCAUUCAUCUUUCCUUUUAACUCUCUCCUCUCGCACUGACUCUCUGUUCACAUACACUUUCCUGGCCAAUUGCAACAAUUGUGUUAUAUUCAUACCCUCCCAAGUCUCUUGCUUUUGAAUUUUCCUUCUAAUAUCUGGAGCUGACUGGGUCACAGAAGUCAUAUUGAUUAACUGAUGGUUAUCAGGAACAGCAGGAUCAAAAGGUGUGUACAUUCUGUAAGCUUUGCAGAGCCACUCAUAAAAUCUCUCAGGGCUCUCAUCAGGCUCCUGCUGGGUUUCUAGCACUUUAAUAAUAUUUUUCGGCCUUUUACUGUGGCCCAUAUCCCUGCCAGGAGGGCUGUACAAUAAUUGCUUAAGCUGCCCUGGUCUCCUGGGGUAUUGGGGUUCCAAUUGGGCCUCUCAUUCACUGGAAAUUGCUGUUCAUGCCAAGUGUCUGGAUUUUGUGUGCCUGCCAGCAUUAUAAAAGCAUUGAUCUUAAUCUCUCCUAAAACUCUCUGCAUUUCUUCAGAGGUUAAGAAAGUUCUACAAAGUUCUUU
ensembl:lncRNA